UGGGGAAUAUUGGACAAUGGGGGCAACCCUGAUCCAGCGAUGCCGCGUGUGCGAAGAAGGCCUGCGGGUUGUAAAGCCCUUUAGUUGGGGAAGAAUGAGUAUAGUUCGAAUAGAAUUAUGCAGUGACGUUACCCAAAGAAUAAGCACCGGCUAACUCUGUGCCAGCAGCCGCGGUAAUACAGAGGGUGCGAGCGUUAAUCGGAAUUACUGGGCGUAAAGGGCGCGUAGGCGGUUGUAUAAGUUAGGUGUGAAAUCCCCGGGCUUAACCUGGGAAUGGCAUUUAAUACUGUAUGACUAGAGUAGAGUAGAGGGAAGUGGAAUUUCCGGUGUAGCGGUGAAAUGCGUAGAUAUCGGAAAGAACACCAGUGGCGAAGGCGGCUUCCUGGACUCAUACUGACGUUGAGGCGCGAAAGCAUGGGUAGCAAACAG
rnacentral:rRNA from 1 species